GCCUAACACAUGCAAGUCGAGGGGUAUACUUUUUCGGAACUAGAGACCGGCGCACGGGUGCGUAACGCGUAUGCAAUCUACCUUAUACAGGGGAAUAGCCCAGAGAAAUUUGGAUUAAUGCCCCAUAGUGUUAUAGAAUCGCAUGGUUUUAUAACUAAAGUUCCAACGGUAUAAGAUGAGCAUGCGUCCCAUUAGUUAGUUGGUAAGGUAACGGCUUACCAAGGCGAUGAUGGGUAGGGGUCCUGAGAGGGAGAUCCCCCACACUGGUACUGAGACACGGACCAGACUCCUACGGGAGGCAGCAGUGAGGAAUAUUGGUCAAUGGGCGCAAGCCUGAACCAGCCAUGCCGCGUGCAGGAAGAAUCAUCUAUGGUGUGUAAACUGCUUUUAUACAGGAAGAAACCUCCCUACGAGUAGGGACUUGACGGUACUGUAGGAAUAAGGAUCGGCUAACUCCGUGCCAGCAGCCGCGGUAAUAC
rnacentral:rRNA from 1 species